rnacentral:rRNA from 1 species
GACGAACGCUGGCGGCGUGCCUAAUACAUGCAAGUUGAGUGCUGAAGGUUGGUACUUGUACCGACUGGAUGAGCAGCGAACGGGUGAGUAACGCGUGGGGAAUCUGCCUUUGAGCGGGGGACAACAUUUGGAAACGAAUGCUAAUACCGCAUAAAAACUUUAAACACAAGUUUUAAGUUUGAAAGAUGCAAUUGCAUCACUCAAAGAUGAUCCCGCGUUGUAUUAGCUAGUUGGUGAGGUAAAGGCUCACCAAGGCGAUGAUACAUAGCCGACCUGAGAGGUUGAUCGGCCACAUUGGGACUGAGACACGGCCCAAACUCCUACGGGAGGCAGCAGUAGGGAAUCUUCGGCAAUAGACGAAAGUCUGACCGAGCAACGCCGCGUGAGUGAAGAAGGUUGUCGGAUCGUAAAACUCUGUUGGUAGAGAAGAACGUUGGUGAGAGUGGAAAGCUCAUCAAGUGACGGUAACUACCCAGAAAGGGACGGCUAAGUACGUG